UAGCUCAGUUGGUAGAGUGUUUGCCUCAGAUGCACAAGAUCCUGGGUUCUAUCCCCAG
rnacentral:tRNA from 1 species